ensembl:snoRNA
AUCCUUUUUGUGGUACAUAAGCAUGAUGGUGGGGUUUACACCAGUUUGUGUGAGAUGUGCUUCCAUCAAAUUUUGUUACCAUGUUGGCACAUAACCCAUCUGUAG